ACAAUCCAGAACAACAGGGUUUACUUGUUGUCAUUUCUUUGUUUUACUGUAAGUCCCAAAGGUUCAGACAGUCGUCUACUGCACACGCUCAGUGUGUUCUGAGGAAAAUGAACAACUGGUGAAAAGAGUGCUGGAAAAAAUGCACACACCCCCGAAACUACUGCCCUUCAGGGUGAACGGUCCCAUUUUCCCUGAUGAGCCAUCUUCAGGUGACACUUUGGACUCCAAGUUCUUCAUCCUCAGGGCAUCUCAGUUCACCAACGGCUGCUUCAUCGCACGACUGUCUCGACAGGCAGAUCCCACUAAGGUAGAAAGUGUCCAGGAUGUUUUGGCAAGAGCAGCAGCGAAAGGCCUCCUGGGUGGGGUAAUGCCUGACCAAUCAAAAACUGGGAAAAAGGGGAAGAGGAAGAAGAAUUGGGCUGCUUCUGGCGAACAUUCAUCCUCGUCCAGUGAGGAGAGGCAUUCAGGGGAUGAGCUCAUGAGCAGGCGGGACUCAGUGUCACCACAUGAAGGGUUGAAGGAUAGUGGCAAAGAGGAGGAAAAAGGGGCAGAAGGAGACGUAGAAACAAAAAAGAAGGAGCCCAAGGGACGUAAGAAAGCAGCAAAACUCCGUUUAAAGCACAACAAGAAAAGCAACGGAACCACAAAGCAUCAGAAGAAGAAACCAGCAAAGAAAAAGGCCAACGGGUCACCCAACAAGAAGCACGUGACAGGAACGAAACCUAGACGAAUACCUCGGCUCACACUGACUCUCAUAUCCUCUGCAGAUUCCACCAAACGCUACUCCCCAAUCGUAGCUCUGGCUCACAAGCUCAGUGUUAGCACAGCCUCCACCCAAAGCCAGCACCCCUCAGCUUCUCCACACUCAGCAUCCACCAAACCAAAACCACCACCGCACAAAACACACAGCAACGGGCCCAAAUCGGUCAGAAAGGUGGCCGCACAGCAAAAAAGAAAUGUGGUCACUCCUCCAAAAAAGUUGGAGGUACCACAGGGAGUAGAAACUCUUCUUCUUCCCAUUUCCUCCUCGUCCUCCAACCUUCUCCACAAUAAGAGUGGCAGCUCUCUGUCCCACACCUCCAACAUGUCUGCGUCCUCCUCCACAGUCCUUCUGCCUGGAUCAUAAAGACUAGAGCUUUGCUGACACACUGAGACUACAGACCUACGCUAGUCUGUAAAGAACAAACUGUAAGGCAUAUGGACAUUAAAGCACACAUUUUGUGUCAUUAAAGGGGGAUUGGUGCAUGAAUGGAAAAGAUAUCAGUCAUAGAACCACAUGACUUGGUGUAAAGUCCAGAUAAAAAAUUAAAAAAAAGAAAUUCUCACUAGUAUUUAGAACUUAAAUAUAUUAUAUGUUAAGGUUUAAUUUAUUCAGACAACUGUUUUUCAGGAAAUUUACUUUGACAUGUUUCAACUGUCAACUGCCAGUCUUCUUUGGAGUUGUCUGCUGAUCGCUUUGAUGUUUCCUUGACAUCCAUGUAAUAAUUUCAGCAAAUUAUUUUUGACUAAAAUAAGGUUUGAUUUAUUCAGACAACUUCUUAUCAGGUAAUUUACUUUGAUCUGACAUGUUUCGACUGUCAACUGCCAGUCUUCUUCAAAGGCAACUACUAAUCGUUUUUAAGUUUCCUCGACUCCCACGUAAUAAUUCAAACAAGUUCUCUUUGAAUAAUAUGUUAUAGUUUCAUUUAUUCAAACAACUGUUUUUCUGGAAAUUUAAUUUGAUCUCCUCACACGUUUCGACUGUCAACUGCCAGUCUACUUCAGAGGCGUCUGCCGAUUGCUUUGAUCUUUCUUUGACUUAUGCGUAAUAAUUCCAGCAAGUUCUUUUUGAACAAUAUGUUAUGGUUUCAUUUAUUCAGACAACUGUUUUUCUGGAAAUUUACUUUGACCUCCUGACACGUUUCAACUGUCAACUGCCAGUCUUCUCCAGAGGCGUCUGCUGAUCGCUUUGAUAGUUCUUUGACUUACGCGUAAUAAUUCCAGCAAG
rnacentral:lncRNA from 1 species